rnacentral:rRNA from 1 species
UACGUAGGGGGCAAGCGUUGUCCGGAUUUAUUGGGCGUAAAGAGCGUGUAGGCGGCCAUUCAGGUCAGCUGUGAAAACUCGAGGCUCAACCCUCGAGACGUCGGUUGAAACCGUUUGGCUAGAGUCCGGAAGAGGAGAGUGGAAUUCCCGGUGUAGCGGUGAAAUGCGCAGAUAUCGGGAAGAACACCCGUGGCGAAGGCGGCUCUCUGGGACGGUACUGACGCUGAGACGCGAAAGCGUGGGGAGCGAACAGG